rnacentral:rRNA from 1 species
GACGAACGCUGGCGGCGUGCUUAACACAUGCAAGUCGAAUGGGCCUGUCUUCUUUUUUGGGGGUGGGUUGAGUGGCGAACGGGUGAGUAUCACGUGAGUAACCUGCCCUUCGGUCCUGGAUAACCGCUUGAAAGGGCGGCUAAUACGGGGUGGUCCGGUUGGUCCGCAUGGGCUGGUCGGGAUAGAUUCACUGUUUUUGGUGUUUCGGCGGGGGAUGGGCUCGCGGCCUAUCAGCUUGUUGGUGGGGUGAUGGCCUACCAAGGCGGUGACGGGUAGCCGGCCUGAGAGGGUGGGCGGCCACACUGGGACUGAGAUACGGCCCAGACUCCUGCGGGAGGCAGCAGUGGGGGGUAUUGCACAAUGGGCGGAAGCCUGAUGCAGCGACGUCGCGUGAGGGAUGGAGGCCUUCGGGUUGUGAACCUCUGUUUCCGGUGGUGAAGGCCCUGUCCGUGUGGUGGGGUUGACGGUAGCCGGGGAUGAAGCGCCGGCUAACUACGUG